GACGUAGGGGGCAAGCGUUGUUCGGAAUUAUUGGGCGUAAAGCGCUCGUAGGCGGGACAGGAAGUUCGUGUUGAAAGACCUCGGCUCAACUGAGGGACCGGCUCGAAUACUCUUGUUCUUGAGGCAAUCAGAGGGUGAUGGAAUUCCCGGUGUAGCGGUGAAAUGCGCAGAUAUCAGGAGGAACACCGGUGGCGAAGGCGGAUCUCUGGGCCAUUACUGACGCUGAGGAGCGAAAGCGUGGGGAGCGAACAGG
rnacentral:rRNA from 1 species